UUAAGUUCAGCGGGUAUUCCUACCUGAUCCGAGGUCAACCUUCAGAAGUGGGGGGUUUCACGGCAUGGCCGCGCCGCGUUCCAGAGCGAGGUGUGCUACUACGCAGGGGAAGCUACAGCGAGACCGCCACUGAUUUUCGGGGGCGGCCCCCGCCGGAGGGCGGGGGGCCGGUCCCCAACACCAAGCCCGGGGGCUUGAGG
rnacentral:misc_RNA from 1 species